UACCUGCAGCUCGAGUGGUAACCGCUAUUAUUGGGCCUAAAGCGUCCGUAGCCGGUUUGGUAAAUAUCUGGGUAAAUCGUGAGGCUUAACUUCACGAAUUUCGGAUAGACUGCCAGACUUGGGAUCGGGGGAGGUCAGAGGUACUCCAGGGGUAGCGGUGAAAUGUUGUAAUCCUUGGAGGACCACCGGUAGCGAAGGCGUCUGACUAGAACGAGUCCGACAGUGAGGGACGAAGCCCUGGGGCGCAAACCGGAUUAGAUACCCGGGUAGUCCAGGGUGUAAACGAUGUGGGCUUUGUAUUGGAGGUCCCACGUGGGCGUCCAGUGCAGAAGAGAAGUUGUUAAGCCCACCGCCUGGGAAGUACGGUCGCAAGGCUGAAACUUAAGGAAUUGGCGGGGGAGCACAGCAACGGGAGGAGCGUGCGGUUU
rnacentral:rRNA from 1 species